CCCAACAACGAUGUAUGCUGAAGAGAUCACAUCCCCUCCUGUAACUGUAUAUAAGGAGAGCCCAGUACUCAGAGCAACACUACAACAACCUCCUCGACCAUCUGUGAGAUCAACUUGAAGGUGUGAUCACUGCAAACAUGCUGAAGGUAGUACUUGUGCUUGGAUGCCUCCUGAGCCUCGCUCUGGCUCAGCCUAUGGAGCGUAGACGAUUUGCUCGGUCUAACUCUGAAUCCAACUCUGGCUCCAAUGAGGGUACAACCACAACAACAGCUGCAACAACAACAGCAGCUCCUGGUGCUGCGACAACAGCAGCAUCUAUAAAUUUGCAGUUGCUCCAGUUGCUCCAACUCCUUUUCGGGCAACAAUAAACUCCAACUGCCACUCCAACAACCAAUCAGUGAAUGACAACCAGGAAUGGAUGAAAUCCAUCUUUUUCUUUCUCUUUUCAAAUUUCGGUGAUGUUUUGUUCACCAGA